ensembl:lncRNA
CCCCAAAUAAAACAUCUGCCUUUUCAAUUCAGACAGCUAUAAGUGAAGAAAUACACCAGGGGAGCAGAAUUAUGUUCUCUUUUCGAAAGUAGAGAUGUUUACAAAGACAGGCUUCUGACACCAGCUGCCUGGUCUGCAUCACCAAUGAGCUGGCACGGGGCUGCCAGAGAAGGUGAGCACCAUUAGCCCCAUUCCUCCUGCUCACCUGGAAGGGGCAGCAGCAGCUCCUGCUCGUUAAUCCUCCAUCCUGUAUUAAUUGACCUUUUACAGGGGCUACUUGAGACCUGCAAGCUCUGAGGUCAUUAGUUCUCAAAGUGCUCUCUGUUUUUCUGUAGCAUCUAUUUGCAUGGCAUUUGUGGUUUUAACAUGCUUUAAAAUCAUUUCUCUCCUGAGGCCUUAUGGUGCUAUUUUGCUUUUCUGUUAAGCCAUCAGAAGGGGAUGAUACCGAUGCUAACUUUCCUCCAAGCUUGUUCUAAGUACAGACGUCUGGGGGCAAAAGGGUGAAGUGAGCAUAGGAAAACCAAGCCCAGCUGACUUUUGGGGAACAGAAAAACAUCAUUCUGAAGAGUGGUACCACAUCCAAGUGUUUAUAGAUAUGAGCAUAGACAUGGAUGAGAAAUGGACACGAUAUUAACUUCACUUCAGCGAGGCCUGGCCUGCACCUUGUCAACUGCAGGUUUUUGGACAUCAGUGGCAUAAAAACAGCCAUAGGAAAUUAACACAAAUGCCCACCUUGAAGUUUGUGGAGAUUAGAGAUGGCGUGUGUUAUGCAUCUGGAAGAUGAUCAGUAAAGAGCAUCGUCAUAUUUGCUGUGCACUUCUGAGCCUGAUAGUAGAGAUCUCUGGCCUGAAAGUGACAGCCAUGUCUACAAAAGUCAUAAUAGCAUUAAAGCAAAUAGAAUGUUAUAGUUUAUAAAGCUACUUAAUAGGCGUUAUUAAAUUUAAACCUCAUAAGAAAUCAGUACAAGUUAGGAUUAUAAAAAUGGAAUUUAAAAUUCUAAAUAAAACAUUAAAAAAUUCCCUAAUUUGCACAUGAAGGAACCAUGGUUUCCAGAGAUUUUAACUUUCUCCCACAGUCAUAAAGGGAAUAAGUUCUGAAAUCUGAAAUUGCAUCCCAUUAUUCUGAGUUCAGGAUAUUUUAUCUGUUAUAUUUGGUUGAAAUCUUCAUAUUUUCUGCUGUUGCUCCUUGUGAUGAAGCCUGGUCUGUAGCUUCCUUUUCAUUUGCACCCCUCUCUCUCUCUCUCUUUUUUUAUAGUGAAGCUGGAAAUUCAAAGAAAAAGACCGCAGUCCCCAUUUCCCUUUCGUCCCUCUACUCCACCCCUAAGUCCUAACAAAAGAAAUUCCCUUUGCACUUAAAAUUUUUUUUUUCUUGGUUUUUUGGGGUUUUGGAGAAAUCUUUCUAAAAAUUGAGAGCAGCCUUCCUUCUUAAUAUUAUCCCUUUGUGAUUAAGUAUCACGUAAUGGCAGAACACAAAAUAGACAAUGUUAGAGAAUUCUGACAUCUGCGCUGUCGCUUCCUUGCUACAGCCGUUGGUGAAACAGUUCACUCAAGCUCACUCUGCUUCAGGCUCCCCCUCUGAAAAUCCAAUGGCAUUGCUAUAUUACUCUGAAAUGUUAUUUUCAGAAUAACAGCUUCAAAUGCUUAGAAAGCUUUUAAAACAUUCUGCGUCCAUUUAAAUGCAUGUUUCAAACCAGGCUUCCAAAUGUCCUGUGAUUCAAAAACACCUUUAGGUAAUAUCCUCAAAGUAAAUUCCAGCCAUUGAUUGACAGAAAUGAACUCCUAGGGUGUUGAAAUAUACAUCUACCCUUUAUUGCCGCAUCCACUUAAGCACUUUACAAUGUGGAGUCAAAUCUGUGAGAACAGCCCUUUGGACAUGUUCCUCUUGUCG